CAAACGGAUAUUUAACCACGCUUCCAUCAAAAUUCCAGCUAUAAUAACCAUUUUUGGUUAAGGAUCAACGACCAUUAAACUUUCAUAGGACUUGCUCGUCCGUAAAUGGAAAUCCAUUCAAUGCCCUUGUUUUCUUCUUCCAGCAAAUCGAAUUCAAACGGUAACUAUAGAUAUUUUCAAUUAUUUUUGGCUUACUUCUCUUGGAAGAUUCGGAUUUGAAAUCCUUAAAACAAAAUCAAAUGAAUUGCAAAUUUGAAAAAAAAAAUCCCCACAUCGAAACCCAUAUGAGAAAACCCAACAUUUGGGAUUCUAUAAAUAGAACCCCCUUCUUCAUUAUCAAGGAAGUUGUUUUUUUUUCAACACCUCAAGUUCUAAAAUUUUCAUUUACUUAGCUUCACACAAGAAAUUUUAUCUUGUAAGCCUAAAUCUUGAAUCAUAGGAACAAGUUAAAUAUUUUUUCGAGUUCAACUUAGUUGUCGUGUUGGUUCGAAGGUGAUCCCCUCAGCUCUAGUCACCCCCAUCGCUGCUCGGCAAAAAGGGAAUUUUCAAAUCCCAAAAGCCAAUGAGAUGCUGCUCAAUUCGAGAUGAAUUACUCCUGUCCUUGGAUGGGCUGACUGCUGCAGUCCUUUAAGCCAAACGAUGCACUUAGUUUCAGCACUUUGCUGAGUUUGCUGUUUUGUUUUUAACAAAAAAAAAAUUGCUGAACUUCAAAACUCAUUUUGCUGUUGAUGCCUUGCUAAAAUUACUGUUAUUUCAUUGAUAUUUGCUGCAAUUUGAAGUAAAGGAAAUGGCUGCUAUGCUUGUUGAUGAAGUCAAUGUUAUGCUCAAAAUACUCUCUUGUGUUGUUGCUUUAUUGCUAUUCGAUGUGGCUGCCUCUUGUGAUGGCUUGUUGCUGCAAUAUAUGACUGAGAUGUUGGUGCUACUUGGUUUGCAACUAUUGCAUUUUCUUUGCCAAACAGCUACUGCCAUAUUUGUGACUAAGCUGUUGUUUUAAAGAAAUAGAUAUUGCACCUGAAUUGCUAUCUAAGAAGAGUUGCUACUUCUUGAGCUAACUCAUUGGCAUAUGCUGAAGAAAUGAACCGAUCCUACACUUGAUAAGGAAAUGUAGCAGCAACUAUAUUUUGAUACGUUGUUAUCUCUGAUAAAGAACAGAUUGUUGCACUUAAGGUCAUUGAUUUGAAUAUGGUACUACACUGGGCCAAUGAAAAAAAGAUUUUUGAGGCCAUGCCUUGUCCGGAAAUGUUAUCCUUCGGUUUAGGCAAUGAUGAUCUCAUUGUAUAGUAAUAAAGUAGGAUCCAACAUGCGUUUGGCAAGGCAACUAGAAUGAUUGACGAGUCACUAGUUCGCAGCCACAACAUGUUCCGGAGUCCUUGUCCCUAGAUUAAAAAGAAAAAUGAGUCUGAGCCUCCGUAAUUAAAGCUCUCAAAAUUUGAUAUGAGUCUUUGGGAUAUUAUUAUUUAUGUUCAUAAACGUCUCCCUAUGGGGUGGCGUAUCAUUCUGACUAACUAUUUUUCUUUCUAUUUGUGUGAGGUAUAAAUAAAGUGAAGUAUGUGGCGCGAAACUUAAAGAGGAAGUAAAGAAUCAGACGCUUAGAAUCGGAUGCUUAAAGCCUUGGAGAGUUGGAGUUUUGCAUGAAGAACUAGAAGAGCAUGGAAGACCUAUUCCCCUCAGACAAGCAGACAAAUGGAAUAGGAUUGCCGAAUGAUUUGGGCCCAAGGCCGAAAAGGCUAAACUUUCUUUGCCUUCCUUUUAGUAUAAGUUUUACAUUAUUUUCUGUAAGAAUAUGUAAAAAUGCACUUGUAUGGAUAUUGAAACCCUUAUAAGUUAGAACCUAGGAUUUAGUUGCGGGUACGGACCCGAACAUUUUCAAAUUAGAUCCGAAAGAUGAGUGAGUUGUAUUCUAUUUGUUAAAAGUAAAUAAAAGUGAAAAAAUGCUUUCUUAUGCAAAAAA